GGAGCUGCCGUCCCAACUCUGCGGCAUCUGCCCGACCACCCAAGUUAGCAUCCUGCUGUGGGGGCAGGGGGACCUGCUAGCCAUCCCUGGCCUCAGCCCUUCAUCUCAGUCCUGUCCUCCAUUCUUGCUGUAGCUUUAAACAAGUGUGUUUAUAAAGAAUCCAAACAGCACUGCAUAUUUUUAGCCCUCGAAAUAAUAGGUAUAUGUAUAAUAUAUUAUAUAUAUACAUAAUAUAUAUGUAUAUACAAUCACUGUGUAUAUAAAUAAUCACUGUCCCUAUUUCACAAAGGCAGAAAGUGAGGCUUGAAGAGAUUGAAUUUUUAACCCAGAACAGAAUAACUAACCCAUGGUAGACCUGGAGUUUGAAUUCAGGCCUGCGUAGCCCAAGCUCAGAACAUAGCACAAUGGAGACGUGAAUUGUAGUAGGGAAUAAAUCCUUAUACAUUUUUGAAAGAUUUUAUUUAUUUUGAGACAGAAAGCGCAAGCAGGGGUGGAGGGGCAGAGGGAGAGGGAGAAGGAGGCCCCCUCCCACUGAACAGGGAGCCCGAUGUGGGGCUGGAUCCCAGGGUCCUGGGAUCAGACCUGAGCUGAAGGCAGAUGCUUAACUGACUGAGCCACCCAGGCGCCCCUAAACCCUUACAUUAAUGAUGAAACAUUUACUCUGGGAUUCCUGCCAGUAGGGAGCUAGGAAAAUCAGGGUAUCAUUAACCAGAACCACAUCACAUGAGCCUGCCUAGUGAGACGAGAUCUUCAUGUGCUCUCCCAUCAAAGGCCUUAAAUAAAGGGAACCAGGCCACUGUGGGGCCAUAUAUCUGCCUCUCCAGGGCCACAUCUGCCUCUCUUGGGAGGCUCUCAACCGCAUGUCUUUUGGCUCCUGGGCAGACCCUGGUAGUGUCUGGGCAAGAGGCAGAUCUCCAGCCUCCUCAUCAACUGUUGGCUCUCUUCUUAACUCCAGGGACCCAGCAUUACAGGAAAGCUUGCCACUUCUGUAUUUCUACCAGUCAUGCCCCCAGAGGAAGCCCUUAGGCCUCACAGCCGCGUCUUCUAAUCGAGUUUACCUUCACUGUGAAGAGACUCUACAGUCUGCUGAGAGCUUUCUCCACCCAGGAAAGUGUUUCCAUCCAAUCCUUGACUUGGUUUACACAGUAAAAGUGACAAAGUGCAGAAGAACAUAUUCAUUCAUUCAACAAACAUCCACGGAGGCCCCAUGAUGAUUUGCCUGCGUUUUUUUUUUCUUUUCUUUUCUUUUUUCUUUUUCUUUGCCUGCAUUUUGUUCCAAACUGAUGACACCACAGCAAGUAAGACCACGUCUCCCCCCACCCCCUGCCGGCCCCCAGCUCACAAUCUAGUGAUGACUGUGAGACAGUAACAUACGCACAAAUACAAAUAUAUAACAUGUCAGAAGUGGUGGUUAUGAUGAUGAUAAUAAUAGGAAAAUAUAGCGUUUUGCUAUAUUUGGGGGGGGUCCCCAGGCUUAUCUGAUCAUAACAAGCACCAGGAAGCUCAUUAAAAACAGAUUCACGGGCCCAUUGCCAGGCCCACUGAUCUGAGACCUCCAGGGGAGAGACCUGGCGAAAUCAUUUGAAGGAAUGCUCCAGUUGCUUCUUGUGAUCACUGGAGGCCUAGGCUGGAUCAGAGGUUUUGAACUUUGGCCACAUGAUAGAAUCACGUGCAGAGCUCUCAAGUAUAUGACACCCAGGUUCCUCUGCUAAAUAUUGUGAUUUAAUCCAUCCAGGUGAGUCCCGAGUUUUGUAUUUAUAUACAAGCUCACCUGGUAAUGCUAGUGGGCUGCCGCAAGCCCUUGGCUUCAGGGAUGGCUGGAGAUCAGAAAUCAGGAACUUGCUGCCUUUGGGUUGUCCGCUGCCCAUGCUGGCCAGGAGGCCGCAUUAGGCCUUUCCACCCAGCUGCCCGCCUGUCCAAGACUAAAUGUCUUCAGAUCUACACCCAAGGACAGACUGGUGGCCAACUGGACUACCGUGUUUUUGCAUCUGCUUUUAUACUUUUAUAAAAAAAAAAAAGUUUGUUUUUUUUUGGCUCUGCUUCCUGUACAGAGCCAAAUCUGAGCGGUGACCCCUACUAUAACAUUUCAGCCCCGCCAGGCCCCAAGACCUUCUGCGCACAGCUGUGACUACCUGGAGAACGCUCCCAGUCACUGAGCACAGGCUGCUCUUCAUUAGCAAUUUCUUUGGAAAGUCCCCAGUGUAUCAUUUCCAUUAGUAACUUCAUUUUGAAAUCCCAUCAAGUCUAUCAGGUGCUAUGCCAGGAACCCACUAGGCAAACAUCCUAACAUCUCUCUCUUAAAAAAAAAAAAAAAAAAAGAACAGAACAGAAAAGCAAAGAAAAAAAAAAUGAUUUCCUUUUUCAGCUCAAAAUUUCCAAAAUCAUUACAUCCCUACACCUGGCCUGUGAGGGGA
rnacentral:lncRNA from 1 species